rnacentral:rRNA from 1 species
AUGGAGCCGACCUUGAAAUACCACCCUUUAAUGUUUGAUGUUCUAACGUUGACCCGUAAUCCGGGUUGCGGACAGUGUCUGGUGGGUAGUUUGACUGGGGCGGUCUCCUCCUAAAGAGUAACGGAGGAGCACGAAGGUUGGCUAAUCCUGGUCGGACAUCAGGAGGUUAGUGCAAUGGCAUAAGCCAGCUUGACUGCGAGCGUGACGGCGCGAGCAGGUGCGAAAGCAGGUCAUAGUGAUCCGGUGGUUCUGAAUGGAAGGGCCAUCGCUCAACGGAUAAAAGGUACUCCGGGGAUAACAGGCUGAUACCGCCCAAGAGUUCAUAUCGACGGCGGUGUUUGGCACCUCGAUGUCGGCUCAUCACAUCCUGGGGCUGAAGUAGGUCCCAAGGGUAUGGCUGUUCGCCAUUUAAAGUGGUACGCGAGCUGGGUUUAGAACGUCGUGAGACAGUUCGGUCCCUAUCUGCCGUGGGCGCUGGAGAACUGAGGGGGGCUGCUCCUAGUACGAGAGGACCGGAGUGGACGCAUCACUGGUGUUCGGGUUGUCAUGCCAAUGGCACUGCCCGGUAGCUAAAUGCGGAAGAGAUAAGUGCUGAAAGCAUCUAAGCACGAAACUUGCCCCGAGAUGAGUUCUCCC